UGUUGGUAAGGAGCUUCUUUUUCCCAUUUCUUCAUGGAGCUAAUAUUAGUUCAGUUACCCUAACCUUUUUUUUUUUGUUUUCUUUCCUGUUUUUCCCUCUCGUCCUCCAACAUCUUUUGGCUCUUUUUCACAGAAUUCAUACCCCAGGCCUUUAGUAUACCCCUGUCCCAGGUCAUCGCCAACGACAGAGCUCACAGGCAACGACAGGAUUCUUUUCGUCAGGACCCUCCACAGCGGGAGGAGCACAAAGACUCCUCAGACCUCGUAUCGUCCAUUUUACAGUUUGCCACCAAGCGGCCGUCCAACAAGGAGUUAUCCAGCAGUAACUCGUCGCUAAGUUCCACAUCAGAAACGGCUAAUGAGUCAACAUCGCCCAACACCCCUGAAGCUGCCCCACGAGCGCGCAGGAGGGGAGGCAUGUCAGUGGACUCCAUCACAGACCUAGAUGACAACCAGUCCCGCUUGCUUGAGGCGCUGCAGCUCUCUCUGCCAGCUGAAACGCCGAGUAAAAAAGAGAAGCACAGGGACAAAAGGCUGAGCCUGAAUCCCAUUUACCGUCAGGUGCCACGUGUCGUCGAUAGUUGCUGUCAGCACAUCGAAAAAUAUGG